rnacentral:lncRNA from 1 species
AUUUCCUUAUGCAAUACUCUGUUCUUGAAAUAGAUGUAUCUAACAAUGGCUUCUUAAAUCCUAAGCACCAAUCAACGAUCUCAUAUAGUCUUCAAAAUAUGGAAUCUCGCCAAUGCAACUAGGAUUCCCUCAUGCCCUUAAAUUUACAUGUGGUUCCAAUAGAGAACUAGAUCUCCAUGAUCCACAAUGACUAUACUUCAACACCCAAAGCACAUAACUUUUACUUAGAUAGUUCAUUUCCAGAACCUUGAACCACCAAAAAAUACUAAGUUCCAAAAGGAAGACUACACUACAAAUCUCAUCUACUUAUCCAAUACUCUGUUCUAACAUUCACUGUAUUGCAUCAAAAUUGAACACGUUCCUGGCUCGGAACAUGCCGAUCGUAAAACGGUGAAUCACUCGAGACAUUCAUGUCGUAUCCAGGACUCAUGAGGCGUAUGAACAUAAACCGAAAAGUACUUCUCAUUCCCUCUAAAAAACUUCUACCAAAGCGGAAGCAUAGGCAAAGGCCCUCUCGUCAUAAACAUGAACGCAACCUUCAGAACUCUAUCGUACGGAUAAUCCUCCUUCAUCGGUACCAUCGACGCUCUCCAGAACAGCUCCUCGUCACUCAGCCCAUGUCUCACAUCCUCCGCCCGAACAAACCCGUCGACGCUCCAGCAAUCUCGAAUCUUGGCCUUCUUCGCCGCCUUUACUGUCGUCGUCGUCGUUUGAGCAAUCACGGUGGAUGACUAUGCAAUUGGAGUAAUCAUGGAUCGUUUGAAGGAAUUGAAGUAACGAUCGAUGUGGGAGCUCGCGGCGAGUCUGAUGAUGAUUCUGGCCAUGAAUAUGAGGAGAAACGAGAGCGUUUGAGCUAGCUUUAGUAAUCCUAUGUGUUUUUUCAGAGAAGAAAUCAAUCGGGAGAGACACAGAGAGGAAGAGAUAGAGACACAGAGAGGAAGAGAAAAGACGGUUCUU